GAUGAACGCUGGCGGCGUGCCUAAUACAUGCAAGUCGAGCGAACGGACGAGAAGCUUGCUUCUCUGAUGUUAGCGGCGGACGGGUGAGUAACACGUGGAUAACCUACCUCUAAGACUGGGAUAACUUCGGGAAACCGGAGCUAAUACCGGAUAAUAUUUUGAACCGCAUGGUUCAAAAGUGAAAGACGGUCUUCCUGUCACUUAUAGCUGGUUCCGCGCUGCAUUAGCUAGUUGGUAAGGUAACGGCUUACCAAGGCAACGAUGCAUAGCCGACCUGAGAGGGUGAUCGGCCACACUGGAACUGAGACACGGUCCAGAAUCCUACGGGAGGCAGCAGUAGGGAAUCUUCCGCAAUGGGCGAAAGCCUGACGGAGCAACGCCGCGUGAGUGAUGAAGGUCUUCGGAUCGUAAAACUCUGUUAUUAGGGAAGAACAUAUGUGUAAGUAACUGUGCACAUCUUGACGGUACCUAAUCAGAAAGCCACGGCUAACUACGUG
rnacentral:rRNA from 1 species